CCUCGCCCUCUCCCUUGCCCUGCCCCAGAUCUCGGCCUUCAGUCCUCGCUGCCGCCGCGACUUGCUCGCCCCGUCUCCCUCCGGCCCCGCCUCAUCGCGGCCGUGGUGGCCAAGGAACACGAGCUCAUUGGAAAACACUCUUAAAUAAAGCUUCCAAUGAACAAGACAGGAGCUCGACUUCGCCUAGCUCCGAACAAGCGGUCGACGAGGCGGAGGUCUCGCGUCCUGCGUGCGUCGCGCCGUUGCCUGGCUCCGUCCUCGCCGUUCCUCUGUAGAAGCUGGCCGCUGACCCCCGCCCGCCUCCGCUUGGCCGUCUGGCCGCCCCCCGCGUGGUCACCUAGAUGGCUGGCCGUGCCCCUAGAUUUGGGUUCCUAUCUUGUUAGGACUUCCAUCUUCGUUCAUUUUGCUGUGUGUCCGUCAGAUAGAUGACUAAUGCAUCCUCAAAGUUCUCCAAGGCGGAGCCUUGCAUCUUUGUGUGUUUGAUUUGGUUGAGCUGCAACCCGUGCUGCUGUCCUUUUCAGUAUAAAAAAAAAGAUUUAGAUGUAGGUUGGCAUUCGGAUGAAAAAUGGACCGUGAAAAAAAGGAGGUCCAUUCACCUCGUGUUCUGUCAUUUGAGCACGGAUCCUUUAGUGUAUCGGAAAGCGUGAUAUUUCUGAUAAUCUUCUGCUUUUCAGAGAAAAGCUUUGAGUAAUUGAGAUGUAUAUUCCUCUAUUGAAAGAAAAAGAGGGGUUUUCAAGCAAUAUGAAAGCCUGAUGCUUUCGUUCUUCGUUUUAUUUAAGAUCACUUUCCUCCCUUGUUCUUAUGAAAUGUGCAACUCUUUAAUCAGGGAUGGCAACCGAUAGUGAAGCCUCGAAGGCAGCUGAGGUUGUGGUUGACUGGCAUAAACAGGACAAAAAGAGGAUGCUCCAUGCAGUUUACCGUGUUGGGGAUCUGGACCGCACAAUCAAGUACUACACAGAAUGCUUUGGGAUGAAACUGCUGAGGAAAAGGGAUGUUCCUGAUGAGAAGUACACCAACGCCUUCCUUGGCUUUGGGCCAGAGAACACCAACUUUGCAGUUGAAUUGACCAACUUUGCGGAGGUCUCGCGUCCUACGUGCGUCGCGCCGUUGCCUGGCUCCGUCCUCGCCGUUCCUCUGUAGAAGCUGGCCGCUGACCCUCGCCGUCGCGCCGUUUUUUAUUAGAUGAAGAAUGAAUCAACCCUUGUAGAAGCUAAAGAUAGAAGAUAACACUACUCUGUUUUUGAAUGUCUGAAGUGUAAUUUUGCAGCCUUGCAACUAUAAAACAAACAAUGUAUGGCUUAAUUAUUGCAGUUGCACAGUGUGAAGAUUUAAAAUUGAAGUGCUAUGAAGAGAUGGAUAAGAGGAAGAAACUUUAUAAUAUUGUUCAAGAGACAAAAGGAAAUUAUCAGGGUUUUUUUGUCGAUGCCGACCCUUAAGCAAAAAUGAGGUGUCAUCAAGCCUGAAUGCAAAUGGUGGAACAACUAAAAAGACAUUUAAGUUUGAUAGAGUAUUCACGCCGAAGGAUGAUCAAGGUGUGGGCGUCUCCGGCGGCCCGACUAUACGAAGCGAGGGCGUAUCGGGGCUAAGGACACGAAAGGCCAAGCGCACAGGGCGUACGGCAGUAAGCCCGCCUGCACCGCACCAGACCGUCACCCGCGACGUGCCCAUGUCAUGACGCCACGGUGGCGGCACGCUGACCCAUCGACGUCACCCUCUUCCUCGCUUCCGCUCGACAGCCUCCAGUUUCCUGGUCAGUCUUCGUGCCGCCUCUCUGCCACACACCGUCUCUCAGAGAUGGAAUCACCACCCCUCACAGUUGAAGCGACCGCUUUUACCGAGAAAAAUGAUGGACAUGACUUUGGAGGAUAUAAUCAAGAUGUGAAAGAAAAAGAAUCCUGGAGGCAAGAAACCCCCUAGGCGGCCGGUAAACUCUAAGUCUGAAGGUUUAGGGUUUUCAUGCUCUCGACUCUGAUAGCUAACUCAGAACUGAUAUUCAAUGUAAAAUAUUCAGUGUGAUAGAAAAAGAAGCGAGAGGUGUGACGUGGUAUGUUUAUAGCUAUUGUGCAGUAUACACCUUGCUUACAGGGCCCACGCCACCAUGAUGUCACAUUUCAAUUCAUUUUGUGACCUCUGAUGAAGAGAUUUAAACACAUCUGUUCUAUCCUAUCCAUAGUUUUAACUUC